UGUCUUUGUCAAUUUUUUGAAGUACAAGAGAAGCUUCCAGGGAAUACAGGGACCGCACUGAUGGCCGGGGUGUCUACGUUUCUCGUGCUUAGUGCCCUAGUUUUUGGUGUCGCCGUGUUUUUGUACCACAGAAACCUAAAACAACAAGGUGUUGAUAGGAACCAAAUUCUCCAGAAACAUGCAUUGAAUGGAUUGGGAGAGACCAACCACACUGCAGACCUGUAUGUAGAAGUGCCUUCAGAAAAUAAUGAGGAUGGUAUUUAAUCUAAUAAUAAAUGCAAGGAAAGUGUAGACAUAGCAAACCAACACCGUUUACAACCAGGAAUCUCUUCCAAAGUACCUGUAUUUGAAAAAUAUUUAAUCCAUACUAUCCUUUCCAGCAUUUUGUCAAACAUCCUUCAGUUUCUUGCUAUGAAACGUACUUAUUUCUGAUUUUUUAAAUGUACUGCUUGGAUGAUGAUUAAAUACUGGUGGGAUUGAGAGGUGUGUAAAAAUGUAUAUAGAUGUUAAAUUUAUGUUGAAUGAGAUGUACGUUGAUAAAAGGAGUAACACCAAGACAUUCCAGGUAUAUGCAUAAAUGUUUAACAAUAAAAUAAAAGAAAAACAAAUUACAUCAAAUGUGAAACCUGUUAAUUAAAACACCAAACAAAACUCUUCAUCUAGAAAGGUCGUAUUUAUAACUGAAAUCUUAUUUUUCUUUCUCGACUUUCCAAUUUCGUUUUAUAGCAGGAUAAAACCAGCUAGAAAGAUAAAUAGAAAAUUGUAUUUUUGUUUGAAAAUACUAUCCAGCGAGACAUUGCAGAGAAAGUGAUUUUUUGUAAUUCAUUGUCGAUAUGACAGUUUAAAACAGAAGUACACAUUUUUAUAUUAGACUGAGUUGUUUAAGAUAAAGCAUUGUUCAGAGAACAUUGUCUUCUGUAACUAAAAAACACUUACUGUUUUUUGAAGUUCUUUGAAAAAUGUUAAUAUGAAUUAUCAGAAAUGGCGAGUAAAACAAAUGAACAUAAAUGAAAAAUGAUAAAUGUUGCUUUUAAUUAUCUAUAAAUCAAUUUGAAGCAUAAUCCUCCAUGAUGGUCAUGUUCUCUAUAACUAUAUUCCUUCUGGACACGUUAUUACUGGCGAUAUUAAUAUAGUAAAUAAUUAGGACCUUAGUUCACUACAUUUAGAAGGUCCUAAAUCAAGGGAACCCCGAUCCUUCAAUUUGCUUCGUAAAUUUCAUAAAAACUAUGAAUUUUGUAGAAGAUUACUCCAAGCGAUGGACCAGAAAUGAAAAAAAAAAACAUGACACUUUGUCAGAAUAGAUUAAAUAUAUCAGACCGCACAUUAGUAUCUGUAAUAUCCAUCUUGUACGCAACAUUUUGGGUUCAUUUAACGUGACCUUAACUAUAAGGUCAUAAGAGAAAAGUCAAAACACCCAAGAAGUAAGUCAAUGUCCCCUCAGGGCUUCGAAACAAUACGUUUUCUACUACUAUCAGUUUGAUUUUUUUGAUCUUAUAAUUAAUUUUAUAUUAUGUUUUUUUCUGUGUAAUUCAGAUUAUUUCAACGAUGUUUUUGAUGAUAAAUUAAAUUUUAUGUCUCUA